rnacentral:rRNA from 1 species
UACAGAGGUCCCAAGCGUUGUUCGGAUUCAUUGGGCGUAAAGGGUGUGUAGGUGGCGCCGUAAGUCGGGUGUGAAAUUUCGGAGCUUAACUCCGAAACUGCAUUCGAUACUGCGGUGCUUGAGGACUGGAGAGGAGACUGGAAUUCACGGUGUAGCAGUGAAAUGCGUAGAUAUCGUGAGGAAGACCAGUGGCGAAGGCGGGUCUCUGGGCCUUGCCUGACGCUGAGGCGCGAAAGCUAGGGGAGCGAACAGG